UUUUGUUAGAGACGGGGGUGUCACUACAUUGCCCAUGCUGGUCUCGAACUCCCGGCCUUAAGCAAUCUUCCCUCCUCGGCCUCCCAAAGUGCUAGGAUUACAGGUGUGGGCCACUGUGCCCAGCCCAACAUGUGGGUUUUCCACACCAAGCAAUUCUCUGCAGACGCCAACUGGAUAUCCUACAAUUUAAUUCGAUUUUGACACUAACUCUGUGGAGUUAGCACAGACCCCAUAGGUUAAGAGCUCAGUCCCAGAAGACUGCCCCUGCUUCAGGCAUCAAUCCCAAGUAGUGGGUCCCCAGGUUACCACACUGGCUACAAAUCAGAGGGGCACACGAGCUCCUCCUUAGUUUUGUCAUUUGCUAGAGCUCACAGAGCUCAGGGAAACACCUUACUUCCAGUUGCCGAUUUAUUAUAAAGGAUACAAAUGAACAGCAGCUGAAGGGAAGCAUAGGGCAAGGUCUGGAAGGGUCCCAAACGCAAGAGCUUUUGUUCCCGUGGAGCUGGGGGUGCACCACGCUCCUGGCACAUGUAUGUGUUCAUGAACCACAAAGUUCUCUGUACCCUGGCCUUUAGAAUUUUUUUUUUUUUUUUCAAGAUGGAGUUUUGCUGUUCUUGCCCAGGCUGGAGUGCAAUGGCGUGUUCUCAGCUCACCGCAACCUCCACCUCCCAGGUUCAAGUGAUCCUCCUGCCUCAGCCUCCCGAGUAGCUGGGAUUACAGGCAUAUGCCACCAUACUUGGCUAAUUUUUGUAUUUUUAGUAGAGACGGGGUUUCUCCAUGUUGGUCAGGCUGGUCUCAAACUCCCCACCUCAGGUGAUUCACCCACCUUGGCCUCCCAAAGUGCUGGGAUUACGGGCAUGAGCCACUUCGCCUGGCCCAGGCCUUUAGACUUUUAUGGAGGUUUUAUUAUAUCGGUGUGAUCGAUUAAGUAAUUGGCCAUUGGUCGUUAGCUCAAUCGCAGCCUCUCUUCUCUCCAAAGAAGUGGGAAGGUGGAGUGGGGCUGAAAGUUCCAAUCUUGUAAUCAUGCCUUGGUCUUUGUGGUGACCAGACCCCUCCUAAGCUAUACAGGGGUCCCCAGCCACGCCAGUUGUCUCAUUAGCAUAGAAAAAGACACCAUGAUCACUUGUGAGACUCCAAGAGCUUUAGAAGCUGUGUGCCAGGAACAGGGGCAGAGACCACUUAUAUAUUUCUUUUUAUGUCACAACUGGAAACACCCAAAUGCCAAUCAAUGGGUGAAUGAAUGGAUAUACAAAUUGCGGUACACCUUUAAAAUGGACACUACCCAGCCAUAAAAAGUCACGAAUUACCGGCCAGGCACAGUGGCUCACGCCUGUAAUCCCAGCACUUUGGGAGGCCGAGGCAGAUGGAUCACAUGAGGUCAGGAGUUUGAGACAAGCCUGGCAAAUAUAGUGAAAAACUGUCUCUACUAAAAGUACAAAAAUUAGCCAGGCAUGGUGGUACGUACCUGUAGUCCCAGCUGCUCGGGAGGAUGACUUAGGAGAAUCGCUUGAACCUGGGAGGCGGGGGUUGCAGUGAGCCGAGAUGGUGCCACUGCACUCCAGCCUGGGCAACAGAACGAGACUCUGUCUCAAAAAAAAGUUACCAGUUACCGAUAUAUGCAACACCACCGAUGAAUCUCAAAAGCCAUUAUGCUAAGAGAAAGAGACCAGCUGUAAGAGAUGACAUACAGUGGAAUUUUGCUCUUGUGGCCCAGGCUGGAGUGCAGUGGUGCGAUCUUGGCUCACUGCAACCUCUGCCUCCCAGGUUCAAGCACUUCUCCUGCCUCAGCCUCCCAAGUCGCUGGGAUUACAGGUGCCUGCCAGCAUGCCCAGUUUCAAGGAGACUCUGCAUUCAAAAGACCACUCCCGGGCACUGCCUUCUACCAACUUCCCCAUCCAACUCUGAUUGCAUCGGACCACUGUCUUCCCUCCACGCCUCCAGCCCUGAGGUUGUCAACGGGGUGCUCCAGCCUCCAUGUGCACCCUGUGACUUCCUUCAUCCUAGUCCUGCUGACCCUCGUGGCUUCUCCUGCUCCAAGGCCAAGCUCGGAACCCUGUCAUCAUCCCCGGGGACAGGCCCCAUCUUAGAGAGAAUCCACCCAGCUCCCCGCUCCUGAGCCAUCUUCCAGCUAUCCCGCCUCGAGACUCCCACCGCACCUGCUCCUGGGCUGCAGCUGCACCCAACAAGUCAACAUGUGGAUUGCUUCUAGAAUUUGGAUAUUAUGAACACUGCUGUGCUGAACAUUCUUGUACACUUAUAUGGUUUGGCUGUGUCCCCACCCAAAUCUCAUCUUGAAUUGUAGCUCCCAUAAUUCCUAUGUGUCGUGGGAGGGACCCAAUGGGAGGUAAUUGAAUCACAGGGGCGGGUCUUUCCCCUGCUGUCCUUGUGAUAGUGAAUAAGUCUCAUGAGAUCUGAUGGUUUUAUACAUGGGAGUUCCCCUGCACAAGCCCUCUUGUCUGCCGCCAUGUAAGAUGUGCCUUUGCUUCUCCUCUGCCUUCCACCAUGAUUGUGAGGACUCCCCAACCAUGUGGAACUGUGAGUCCAUUAAACCUCUUUCCUUUGUAAAUUA